rnacentral:rRNA from 1 species
UACGUAGGGUGCAAGCGUUGUCCGGAAUUAUUGGGCGUAAAGAGUUCGUAGGCGGUUUGUCGCGUCCGUUGUGAAAGUCGAGGGCUCAACCCUCGAAUGCCGGUGGAUACUGUCGGGCUAGAGUACGGAAGAGGCGAGUGGAAUUCCUGGUGUGGCGGUGAAAUGCGCAGAUAUCAGGAGGAACACCAAUUGCGAAGGCAGCUCGCUGGGACGUUACUGACACUGAGGCGCGAAAGCGUGGGGAGCGAACAGG